UGAUGAAGGCUGUGGUCUUUAACAUCCUCGUGACCAAUUCAGUUUUUCCUGAGAGCCUUUCGUAAAAAAAUAGACAUCUGUACGUGUGUGAUUGUCGCGGCAGGUGCGUCAGCUGGCCACGGUGCGCCGGUAUUCGGCGGUGCCGUCGGCUAUGACGGCGUCCAGGGGAGAGCGCUUCUUCCGGAUGCUGCGCCCGGAGGAGAUGAGGUCGGCGUAGCCGCGCUGGUGCGAGAAGGCGUAGGCCGAGCGCCGCGAAGACACGCCCCGGCGGAACACGCGCUGCCGCCGCUUCCACUGCUCCUCGGCUUUCAACCGCUUGCGGUGCUUCUGAAUCUGCAGAACCGGAGAGAGGGGCCAGGCUGACGAGGACCUCGCAGUUUGCAGAUAAGCUCCCAGAGGUAUGAAGAAGAGGAUCAUCGAUGUUAAAAUUCCAUGCACCAGGCUUACAAAGAACUUCUUAUAGUUGAAUAGUGCCCAGUCCGUCCUGAAGUGUCCCGUCAGCCCGAGGCUCCUACCUGGUCAAGCAGCCCCACGAGGAGCACGGGCAGGCUGGAGUACAGCACGUUGUAGAGCGUGAUGAACCAGUCUUCGUACGCAGUCUGUGAGGAGAUUACAGAGUCGCCGUGUCACAAACCAAGACCUAUUGCCCGCCUAGUCAACAUGCAUUCAUCUCUUUCGGAGUGGGGAAGGCCCCAGGCUGUGUGCAGCUUCUGCCAGAGUAAACACCCCUCAUCUGCAUCUGCCCAAGAGUACCCAUUGAAGAAGGAGUACCAGAAAUGAACCAAAGUAAAUGCAAAGUUUUUAUAAAAGAAGUAUCGUAGGAACUUGCACAUCCUUAUGUAAGACCACCGGCCAUGUACCAGCAACAGUCUCUGCAAGUAUCUGAACUGGGCAAAGGAGUAGUCACUUGACAUGACAGCUUGCAUGCCUUCUUGUCCACUUAUUCCAACACCAAUGUGGGCAGCUGUGGGACAGAGGGAGAAGAUAUGUGAAUCGUAAGCUAAUUUUAAGGCGAAAUAUUUAAGUGAUAAAAAUGUUUCCACAGCAAAACAAAGAAACACAUUCAUGGAACAAUAUAUGUGAAAACUCUCUCUCACCAGCCCCACCCCAGCUUCUGAACUCAAUGUCAGAGAUACAAGUUGCUCAAAAGAGCACAUGCUGGGGCCUCCAAAAGGUAUUUGUGGAAGGAUCUCAGGUGGGUGGUGAAUUCCAUUUGGAUUAUCUGCCCAGCUGAUAGGCCAUCCUUCCCGCCCACGGGGUUAAUCCAAGGAGUCUAUGCAGACUGUGCGUUCCUGCCUCCCUGGCCACAGCUGAGUCAGCUGCUAUUGGCAGAUACUACAAAUUGGCCCUCCCAACUUUCAUUCCACCCUUGUUCUACUGGAAAGGUGGGAAAGCACAUAAAAACCUUACAUUGCUCAGACUCCCUUGCACUAGGUUCUGUUGGUGAAUUGGGUUUCAUUGUUAGGAGCCACUUGAAGUUUCCGGAAGUAGAAGCGAACUGGGGCCCAGCACCCCUUCCCUUUUUGGCAUUUCUUCAGCAGAGUUCGUAUGCUCUCCCCAGCUGCCUGGAUGCUGACAGACAAAAGCUCAACUGAAAAGCCCUUCACAGGAGUCUCAAAGCUAGAAGCUCCUCUGGUGAGUGACUAAGAUGUUAGAGACUCGGGCUAGCACCUACUUUCUUCAGCCCAUCCAGAGCUUUCAUGAGCACCUAGUCCCCUGUAUUAAUCACUUCCUGCUUAAAGUACCCAACGGGGUCUGUAUCUUGUACUAACUGACUGAAAACCCAAGCUGGGGCAAUCAGUGUCUCUUUCACAUUUUGGAAUUAAGAUUCGGGCAUGUUUGUGUUUGGAAUUUUAACCUAUACAUUCUUGAGCUGUGGGACAGAUAUAUUUUUUUUCUCAGGGGUUCUGAGGGGCAGAGAAGUAAAGUCAUCUAGAAAGAGGGAGAAACCAGAAGCUGGGGUCCUGGUGCAGCUCCAGGUCCUGGUUCUAGCAUCUUCCUGAGGCGUGGCUUCUUAGGAGGCACAAAACAUCUUUUUUUUUUUUUAAAUUUGGGAGAGCAGGAGUGGAGGGGAGAGGCA